rnacentral:misc_RNA from 1 species
UGCGCAGAAGGCUAUUCCCCCCCCACAACAUGGCCACAGAGUCCAUCAUGGAGGAGUGCGUUCCUUCACCCGGUACUCCAGACUCUAGGAAGAGACCCUUAGAUAUCGACUCCGACGAUGCUAUGUCCAAGCGAUCACACUACAUUCCAGAUAUUUCAUCUUUUUCAGACAUGCAGAGUGAGGGGACAUAUCACCUCAAGAUCCUGGUUCCUAGUGUGGCCGCAGGCGCCAUUAUUGGCAAAGGAGGAGAAACCAUUGCACAGUUGCAGAAGGACACUACUGCCAGGGUGAAGAUGUCCAAAGCCAAUGACUUUUAUCCUGGCACAUCAGAGCGAGUAUGUCUAAUCACUGGCAACGUAGAUGCCAUCUGCACAGUGCUGUCAUUCAUUAUGGAAAAAAUUAAAGAAAAACCAGACCCAAAUGCAAAACCAGCCAUUGAUUUUGAUAACAAGAUGACAGCUGAAAGAGAGAAGCAGAUUUCAAGAAGUGCUCAUUCCCUGCAGGUGAAGAUUUUGGUCCCCAAUAGCACUGCAGGCAUGAUCAUUGGUAAGGGUGGCACUUACAUCAAGCAGAUAAAAGAAGAAAGUGGAGCUUAUGUUCAGAUCUCCCAAAAGGCCAAAGAUCAGUCAUUGGCAGAACGUUGUAUUACUGUCAUAUCAAAUGAUGUAGAAAAUAGCAAGAAUGCCUGCCUGAUGAUUCUGGCAAAGAUAGUGGAGGACCCUCAGAGUGGCACCUGCCUCAAUGUAAGCUAUGCUGACAUCACAGGUCCAGUGGCUAAUCCUAACCCCACUGGUUCUCCUUUCGCCAAUUCUCCAGGCGGUCAAAAUAUACAGAAUGGAAGUUUGGGAUCCAUGAAUAAUCCACUGUCUGCAGUGAGUGGAUUAGGAAACCUUCUUGGUGGUGGAGUGAAUCUGACUCUAAAUCUGAGCUCUGCCUAUCCUAAUGGUGGUGCUGGAAACCCUGUGGUCACCGCCCAGCUUCUGGAGCAUGUGAGAUCUAUCCUUCGUAGUUCAGGGUUUGCUGACCAGUCUAAUGCUGAAGUGUGUCAGGCCAUCAACACACUAAUCAACUAUGGCAUUAUUGGGCUUGGGUUGGGGCUGGGCAACCCAUCUGGUCACCAGGGAGGACAUGGUGGUCAGGGAGGCCAAGGCCAAGGCAGUAUGGGAAACAACCCAAUGCUGCCCAAUAUGAACAAUUCGAACAAUCCAAAUGAUUCUUACCAUGGAUCAUCAAUGAGCAAUGGAAAUAAUGGCCCUUUUGGGCCCAUAGGCACCACAGUAGCUUCAGGCCUUAACCUGGGACAGGGGUUGGGGGGUCCAACCUCUCCUCAACGUCAAGUGGACCGUUUCAGCUCAGAACCUCCCUUUGACCCUUUCCGACGGCAGUCCUCAGAAAUGGGAGGUAGUCUGCCCCUGAACAGCAACUCCUUUGGGCUUGGCACUCCUUUGAGGAAGAGCCCCUCCCCUGGAGAACUUCCUCCAGGAGCACCAGAUGGUAGCAAGAAGGUGGAGGUGGAAGUUGGGGAGCACAUUGUUGGCGCCAUUUUGGGUCCUGGAGGAAAGUCUCUGGUGGAGAUCCAGCAUAUCUCCGGCACCACAAUCCAAAUCUCCAAGAAGGAUAAUGGGUGACCCCAAUGUCAUGAAUGAUGAGUAAGCUGGUGUGUAUGUGUGGAGCUGACAAUGCCAGGCUGUGGUGGUGGCGGCUGCAGGAGAUGAGAGAGGCUCUCCACGCAGGUUCAACACCCCUCCACGCAGUGAGCUGAGGAGGAGGAAAGAAGAGAGGCGGAGGCCCAUCCAGGCGAGCAGCUCCCAUAACACAACUUCCACAUUAAUUUUUAACAAAGCAAAACUCAUGUGUAUAAAGUACUUUUAAAUCACGAAGUAUGUAUCUUAAUUAACUUGAGGAACACCAUAUAUAUAUAUAUAUAUAUAUAUAUAUAUAUAUAUAUAUAUAUAUAUAUAUAUAUAUAUAUAUAUAUAUAAUGUAUGAGGCACUUAUAGCCAGUCUAAAGCUAGGUGUAAGCGCUUGAAUGAAAACAAAACGUCAUCAAACUUUGCAAUAUUCAGAAUGCAAUAUCUCAAUGAAUUAAACCAAGAAGAAAGAAAAUGUUCAGUAAUGUACAUGGUCCAAACUAGCGUGAUGAAAUUAAAGCAUUUCACAAGAUUAAUGAAUGACAGCAUUUUUCUUCUGAUUAAUUUUGUUGAAAAUGUCACACAAGCGCAUUAAUGUGUGAAUUGUGUUUAUUUUUCUAUUCUAUCAUAUUGCUUCGUUAUCUUGUAUUCUAGUAGGAAGCAAAACUAUGAAUAAAGAUAUUGUUUAAUGAU